CCUCGUGGCGGAGCGCGGCCUACCCAGAGCGCCUUCUAUAUCCUGGGUCAGUCGCCAAGCUCCCCCAGCUUCACGCAGGAAUCUGCAGCCUGGCAGAAUUAGGACCACUCUUUCAAAACUGGCUAGCCUUUCCCAGGCCCGCACGCGGGAAUAGAGUCGCCGCCCAGGACGCGCCCUAGAG
rnacentral:lncRNA from 1 species